UAAACGAUGUAAACAUUGUAAAUAUUGAAAAGCGAUAAUUUCGCAGCUGCAAUAAAAAACGAAAUCUGCGAAUAAAAGUGAUCCUUUUGUCUUGUCUUGAAUAAUGUUAUAUAGGUACAUCUCAAGCGUUUUUUAUUCAUAAAAAAAAGAAGAAACCCUUCAACUGCUGCCAUUCAGUAAACUACCGAAAAAGAUUGAAUUCAAGCAUCAACCGAAAAGCAUUUCCCGGUACCGUUUGGACUAUUUAAGCAAUAAAACGAUUUUAAGCAGCUGGCACUCAUGGCACUUUCUCAUAUCGACAAACGAUCAUCGGAUACCACCCAUCCAUCAAAAACAUUGAUUUGGGCCUCGAUCGACACGCAUCACAUUUGAGCAAUGGACAGAGAGCAGGAAUUAUUUGCCAUGAAUAUACGGAACACAUUUCGCCCGAUCGCAAUGAGGCGCCGGAUAUAGGCACGGGCAGGUUGAAACUUUUUGGGUUUAUGGACAUGGGUUUCAGAAGCAUAGUUGUUACAAAUGACUCUGUUUAAGUGAAGUGUAUACAAAUUAAGAAAGAAAAUUUAAUUAACGAUAGAAUAUUAACGAAUAAAAAUUUAUAUUUAUUUAAUA